UACGUAGGGUGCAAGCGUUAAUCGGAAUACUGGGCGUAAAGCGUGCGCAGGCGGUUAUGUAAGACAGUUGUGAAAUCCCCGGGCUCAACCUGGGAACUGCAUCUGUGACUGCAUAGCUAGAGUACGGUAGAGGGGGGAUGGAAUUCCGCGUGUAGCAGUGAAAUGCGUAGAUAUGCGGAGGAACACCGAUGGCGAAGGCAAUCCCCCUGGACCUGUACUGACGCUCAUG
rnacentral:rRNA from 1 species